rnacentral:rRNA from 1 species
GAUGAACGCUAGCGGGAGGCCUAACACAUGCAAGCCGAGCGGUAUUUGUUCUUCGGAACAGAGAGAGCGGCGCACGGGUGCGGAACACGUGUGUAACCUGCCUUUAUCUGGGGAUAGCCUUUCGAAAGGAAGAUUAAUACCCCAUAAUAUAUUGAGUGGCAUCAUUUGAUAUUGAAAACUCCGGUGGAUAGAGAUGGGCACGCGCAAGAUUAGAUAGUUGGUGAGGUAACGGCUCACCAAGUCAAUGAUCUUUAGGGGGCCUGAGAGGGUGAUCCCCCACACUGGUACUGAGACACGGACCAGACUCCUACGGGAGGCAGCAGUGAGGAAUAUUGGACAAUGGGUUAGCGCCUGAUCCAGCCAUCCCGCGUGAAGGACGACGGCCCUAUGGGUUGUAAACUUCUUUUGUAUAGGGAUAAACCUACUCUCGUGAGAGUAGCUGAAGGUACUAUACGAAUAAGCACCGGCUAACUCCGUG